UCGGAUUUCCGUUGGGAACAUUUCGGCGGUGUACAUGUAUAGUAUUACAAACGAAAUAGUUAUGGAAAACUUUCCAAUUAGGUAUAGAAGUACAUUUAAGAUGACUGCGUCUAAAAAUAAAACAAAAGUCAUACCUACAUUUUGGACAACAAAAAGUCAAUAUUAAAAAUAGCCAAUGGUCAUUCACAGCUCACUUAACCACAAUCCAUAAUCAAAACUCAAAAGGCGUUAUAGUUAGGUACACCAAGAACUAAGAAGAUGUAUAUCUUCUUUAAAAUACCAUAAUAUGCAUUGUAGGUACUUUAAUGAUGUUUUAUAAUCUGAUUUAAAUAUUUUGGGUUUCUGAUGUAAAUAGUUUAAUAAAAUUAUCGAAUUUUUUAAUUGAUAAUUAUUAAAUCUUUCAUUAACAAAAUAUACAUAGUACAAGUAUAUAGAUACAAUGGACGAUGGUAUAUUAAGGGCUGUAGUCAAUUUGUAACAAAAUUGGCUAAAAUAUCAACAUCAUGUGUAAUAAUUACUAAUUUGCAUCAACUUUUUGGAAUACUUUGGUAAUUUUCACUAAAAUUAAAAUACUAAUGUCACUUGCAUCAAAUUAGGUACAUACAAUAUGUUUAGAUAGCAAACUAUAAGAUAUGAAGCGAUGAAGGUAGAAUGUGUGAGAAUUUAUUGAACUAGUAAUACAGAAUAUUCUCUUUUAAAUGUUGAGCGGUUAUUUCAUUAACUUAUCUACACCGUUGCACGGUACGUACCUACCCACGUUAUUAUUGAUUUUAAAGUUACCUAUCAAACAACAAUAAUAAAUACCUAGGUAAUAAUAUAAUAUAUGAAAAACAUAAUAUGUAUAUAAGUGAAUGUAAUUCUGUGUAGUGUGUAAUUGUGUAAUAGGAUUAUACGACGGAUCAGACGUUAAACUAUGUUAUUAUCAGCAGAGCCCAACUUAGGAAUUUUGAGGCCCGGGUAAAAUUUUCUAAUGGGGCCUCAAAAUUAAUUAUUAUCUAAAUGCCACUUUAAUAAUUAAAUAUUAACAGGGGCCCGGGGCUCCAAAUAAUAUCGGGGCCCGGGGCUGCAGCCCCCCUAGCCCCCUCCCCCUAAGUUAGGCUCUGAUGAUCAGCAAGUAAAGCAGCGAGUACCUAAUAAGAAAUCUCGUAAAAUGAUUGUUAUUUGAGUCUUAAAGCAGUUAAAGCAGAUAUCGAUAAAGGUAUACCUACCUACCGUCAAAAUAACUGAACACAUAGAUACUUUUUUUUGACUUAUUUUAGUGUAAAUUACAAAUACCUACUAUUUUUGGUUACCCGCGAUCAUGCAAAUUACAUUAAUUCAUAUCAAAGCCCUAUGUAAAUAAUGGUUUAUUGUUGUUGAGCUUUGGGAUUGUCUGGGUCUCUGGGAUACGUAUUUUUUCCACCCCAUCUAUUUGGACCCGAUAAGAAAACACAUGCAGUGAUACAAGUGUUAUAAACCGGUUGGAAAAAAAUAAAAAUUACUCGCUUAAUGGUCACUGAAAAUUAUUAAUAAUUACGUUUUGG